rnacentral:rRNA from 1 species
UCCCAGACUCCUACGGGAGGCAGCAGUGGGGGAUAUUGCACAAUGGGGGGAACCCUGAUGCAGCGACGCCGCGUGGGUGAAGAAGCGCCUCGGCGCGUAAAGCCCUGUCAGCAGGGAAGAAAAUGACGGUACCUGACUAAGAAGCCCCGGCUAACUACGUGCCAGCAGCCGCGGUAAUACGUAGGGGGCAAGCGUUAUCCGGAUUUACUGGGUGUAAAGGGAGCGUAGACGGCAGCGCAAGUCUGAAGUGAAAUCCCAUGGCUUAACCAUGGAACUGCUUUGGAAACUGUGCAGCUGGAGUGCAGGAGAGGUAAGCGGAAUUCCUAGUGUAGCGGUGAAAUGCGUAGAUAUUAGGAGGAACACCAGUGGCGAAGGCGGCUUACUGGACUGUAACUGACGUUGAGGCUCGAAAGCGUGGGGAGCAAACAGGAUUAGAUACCCCUGUA